rnacentral:lncRNA from 1 species
GGCCACACCGGCCAUGGGGCUGCCUGGGACAUCCUGGGGGCCACCGCACAGAGCCCCAACCUCUGUGUCACUGCUGCCACCGCGCAGGGCGAGCCGUGCGAGGUGUGUCCCUCUGUCCCCGAGGAAAAUCUCGGUGCCGUCGGAAUUCCCGGCAAGCCGGGAGCGCGCGGAGAGCCCGGAGCGCCCGGCAGGGACGGGGUCUCGGACACACCCGGCCCCGCCGGACCCAAAGGGGACAGGGGCGAUCCCGGAAUCCAGGGGAUGAAAGGGGACAAGGGGGACUCGUGCCAGCCCUGCGAUCUCCGCGUCCUCGCCGCGCUGCGGGACCUCGAAGGGGAGCCGGGGCUGCCGGUGAGUAGCGGGGCGGGACCCCCACCCCCGUCCCCCACCCUAGGGUGGGGGGCACCCCGGGGUGCUGCGGCUGCCGGGGCAGUGACCUCUGCGUGUCCUGCAGGGCCAGGUGGGGCUGUCCGCGCUGGCCGGGAUCAAGGGGGACAAGGUGAGCGACCCCCGCCCCCUUUGGGCUUCCCUGGAAGGGAGCAGGAAUGGUUGGAUCGUCCCAUGGGGGCUGGGUAGGUUUGGCUGAUCCUGAGCCGAAUUCUGAUCCUGGCCCUGCUCCGUUUCAGGGGGACAGUGGCCAUGUGGGACCCACGGGCAGACCGGUGAGUGGGGACACUUCGGGGGCUCAGGGGGCUCAGGGGCGUCAGAGCCGAGGUUUGGGGACCGUGGUGUCACCUCUGCUGUGGGUUUUGGGU